AGCGAACGCUGGCGGCAUGCUUAACACAUGCAAGUCGCACGGGCAGUAGCAAGUACUGUCAGUGGCGGACGGGUGAGUAACGCGUAGGAAUCUAUCCUUGAAGUGGGGGACAACCGUGGGAAACUACGGCUAAUACCGCAUGAUGCCUGAGGGCCAAAGACGAAAGUCGUUUGAGGAGGAGCCUGCGUCUGAUUAGGUAGUUGGUGGGGUAAAGGCCUACCCAAGCCUACGAUCAGUAGCUGGUCUGAGAGGAUGAUCAGCCACAUUGGGACUGAGACACGGCCCAAACUCCUACGGGAGGCAGCAGUGGGGAAUAUUGGACAAUGGGCGCAAGCCUGAUCCAGCAAUGCCGCGUGGGUGAAGAAGGUCUUCGGAUUGUAAAGCCCUUUUGGCGGGGACGAUGAUGACGGUACCCGCAGAAUAAGCUCCGGCUAACUUCGUG
rnacentral:rRNA from 1 species